UGGAGGCAGCAGUGGGGAAUAUUGGACAAUGGGGGCAACCCUGAUCCAGCAAUGCCGCGUGUGCGAUGAAGGCCUGCGGGUUGUAAAGCACUUUCGGUGGGGAAGAAAUGCUCAAAUAUAAUACAUUUGAGAGCUGACGUUACCCACAGAAGAAGCACCGGCAAACUCUGUGCCAGCAGCCGCGGUAAUACAGAGGGUGCAAGCGUUAGUCGGAGUUACUGGGCGUAAAGGGCGUGUAGGCUGAUUUCUUAGUCGGUUGUGAAAUCCCCGGGCUUAACCUGGGAAUUGCAGUCGAUACUGGAUUUCUUGAGUAUGGUAGAGGAAAGUGGAAUUCUCGGUGUAGUGGUUAAAUACGUAGAUAUCGAGAAGAACACCGGUGGCGAAGGCGGCUUUCUGGACCAAUACUGACGCUGAGGCGCGAGAGCGUGGGGAGCAAACAGGAUUAGAUACCCCGGUAGC
rnacentral:rRNA from 1 species